GGAUAGCUCAGUUGGUUAGAGCAUGGUGCUGAUAACGCCAAGGUUGCAGGUUCAAUCCUCGUGAGAGACA